rnacentral:rRNA from 1 species
AUUGAACGCUGGCGGCAGGCCUAACACAUGCAAGUCGAGCGGAUGAAGGGAGCUUGCUCCUGGAUUCAGCGGCGGACGGGUGAGUAAUGCCUAGGAAUCUGCCUGGUAGUGGGGGAUAACGUCCGGAAACGGGCGCUAAUACCGCAUACGUCCUGAGGGAGAAAGGGUGAGAUCUUCGGACCUCACGCUAUCAGAUGAGCCUAGGUCGGAUUAGCUAGUUGGUGGGGUAAAGGCCUACCAAGGCGACGAUCCGUAACUGGUCUGAGAGGAUGAUCAGUCACACUGGAACUGAGACACGGUCCAGACUCCUACGGGAGGCAGCAGUGGGGAAUAUUGGACAAUGGGCGAAAGCCUGAUCCAGCCAUGCCGCGUGUGUGAAGAAGGUCUUCGGAUUGUAAAGCACUUUAAGUUGGGAGGAAGGGCAGUAAGUUAAUACCUUGCUGUUUUGACGUUACCAACAGAAUAAGCACCGGCUAACUUCGUG